CCUUUAAUGUUUGAUGUUCUAACGUUGGCCCGUAAUCCGGGUUGCGGACAGUGUCUGGUGGGUAGUUUGACUGGGGCGGUCUCCUCCUAAAGAGUAACGGAGGAGCACGAAGGUUGGCUAAUCCUGGUCGGACAUCAGGAGGUUAGUGCAAUGGCAUAAGCCAGCUUGACUGCGAGCGUGACGGCGCGAGCAGGUGCGAAAGCAGGUCAUAGUGAUCCGGUGGUUCUGAAUGGAAGGGCCAUCGCUCAACGGAUAAAAGGUACUCCGGGGAUAACAGGCUGAUACCGCCCAAGAGUUCAUAUCGACGGCGGUGUUUGGCACCUCGAUGUCGGCUCAUCACAUCCUGGGGCUGAAGUAGGUCCCAAGGGUAUGGCUGUUCGCCAUUUAAAGUGGUACGCGAGCUGGGUUUAGAACGUCGUGAGACAGUUCGGUCCCUAUCUGCCGUGGGCGCUGGAGAACUGAGGGGGGCUGCUCCUAGUACGAGAGGACCGGAGUGGACGCAUCACUGGUGUUCGGGUUGUCAUGCCAAUGGCACUGCCCGGUAGCUAAAUGCGGAAGAGAUAAGUGCUGAAAGCAUCUAAGCACGAAACUUGCCCCGAGAUGAGUUCUCCCUGAGACUUAGAGUCUCCUGAAGGAACGUUGAAGACGACGACGUUGAUAGGCCGGGUGUGUAAGCGCAGCGAUGCGUUGAGCUAACCGGUACUAAUGAACCGUGAGGCUUAACCUUACAACGCCGAAG
rnacentral:rRNA from 1 species